AACGCACAUUGCGCUCCCUGGUAUUCCGGGGAGCAUGCUCGUUUCAGAAUCAUUAACAUUCUCAAAGACACGGUUCUCGCAUUUUUGCGAGGCUGGAUCUUUCGGAUGUGAGCCUCUUUGCUUUGAUGCAAUGGCUUGAAAAUGAUUGUGUUUGCUACCGGCCUUAUGGUUCGGUUCUCUCAAGUGCAACAGAUGUUAAUUCAUUUCGUUUAACUCUUGAUGAGGAACGUUCCUCAACCGGUGUUUGGCUUACACUCCAUCAAUUAUACCUUCAGCGAUACGUGUAUCGCUGUUUCAUAACUUGGUCUGAAAUCGAGCAAGAAAACCCGCUGAACUUAA
rnacentral:misc_RNA from 1 species